rnacentral:lncRNA from 1 species
ACUUAAGUACAGAGCCAAGAAUCCAAAUUUUUAACAAAAUGGCUCUUGACAUAAUUCAUAAAAACUCCUACUUUUCUCCCUAUAAAUCAGCCGAAAAGUUGCUAGAGGGAUUGAGCAAAUCAUCUUUCUCCUCUCUUUGCUAGAAUGGAUCCCCAAUCAAGCUCUUAGCUCUUUCUCCACUGACUGUGCUCACCCACUGAAAACCCAAAACUAACAUGACCAGAUUCCAAAGAUUUCUAGACCAACAACGAUAUUGUAGGUAUAAUCAACAGAUUCCACUGCCUGUUUACAAAGGCAACAUCAAUUUCACCAACACUUCACCUUGCUUUGCAAAUUGUCCAUAGUAAGGAGCUUCCCUGCAGAAGCAUUUCAUGCCCCCCCCCCAACAAAACAAAACACCCAAAAAAAGAAAC